rnacentral:misc_RNA from 1 species
GACGUAGGGUGCAAGCGUUGUUCGGAAUUACUGGGCGUAAAGCGCGCGCAGGCGGAUGGGAAAGUCGGAAGUGAAAUCCUGGUGCUCAACCCUGGGACUGCUCCCGAUACUGCCCGUCUAGGGACCGGUAGAGGCUGGUGGAAUUCCCGGUGUAGCGGUGGAAUGCGUAGAUAUCGGGAAGAACACCCGUGGCGAAGGCGGCCAGCUGGGCCGGAUCCGACGCUGAGGCGCGAAAGCGUGGGGAGCAAACAGG